ACACACAGGUAGGGGUACUACAUGUGUUAACACAGAGGUAAGGGUACUACAUGUGUUAACACAGAGGUAAGGGUACUACAUGUGUUAACACAGGUAAGGGUACUACAUGUAUUAACACACAGGUAGGGGUACUACAUGUGUUAACACAGGUAAGGGUACUACAUGUAUUAACACACAGGUAGGGGUACUACAUGUGUUAACACAGAGGUAGGGGUACUACAUGUGUUAACACAGAGGUAAGGGUACUACAUGUGUUAACACAGAGGUAGGGUACUACAUGUGUUAACACAGAGGUAAGGGUACUACAUGUGUUAACACACAGGUAGGGGUACUACAUGUGUUAACACACAGGUAGGGGUACUACAUGUGUUAACACAGAGGUAGGGGUACUACAUGUGUUAACACAGAGGUAGGGGUACUACAUGUGUUAACACAGAGGUAGGGGUACUACAUGUGUUAACGCACAGGUAGGGUACUACAUGUGUUAACACACAGGUAUGGUACUACAUGUGUCAACACCCAGGUAGGGGUACUACAUGUGUCAACACACAGGUAGGAGUACUACAUGUGUCAACACACAGGUAAGGGUACCAUUAGCACCCUUCCUUCACUGACACAUAAUCACAUAACUAGUCCAGUUCAAACUUAAAGAAACCCUGUACUGCAUUGGUUUGUGUGAUUUCCAUAUCUAUUUGACAAAAUGCAGAUUUUUUUCCAUAUCUAUUGACAAAAUGCAGAUUUUUGUAGGUAAACAGUUUUAUAUUCUCAUGUGUAUGAUGAUGACCUAUCUUGUUGAUCUAUAAUGCAGAGCUACGUUCCCUUGAAAAGAUUGUCCUAAUAGUGUAUCCAGUAUCAAGGGACAGUACUCUUGUUCACUCUGGUGAUUUGAUUGAUAACAGACUGGUGGGGAAUGUUUAUCAGAAGUUUUGUAAAUUCUAUGAUGUGUCUUUAUCAUCCCCAAGUCUGAUUCUUUUUGGUGGAAUGAUAAAAGAUCAAAGUAUGGACUUGUUUCUUAAGGUUUUAUAACAUUUUCAGUUUAUUAAUCUUAAUCUUAGUUUUUAUAAUUUUUCUUAACCUCUAAUUAUGUUGGUUUUGUAACAUUGAUUAUUGUCAGAUCAAUUUGUCAUUAUUUGAUAUAUCACUGUUAAUUCAUCCAGCUAUGUGAAUCUCCUUAUCCUCACUGCCUUUCAGCUUGUUCUUUCUUCCAUAAUAACACAACCUUUCAUUUUAGUAUUUAUGUAAAAUCAGAAAAAAAGUUUGAAUGAAUAAUUCGAUAAAAAUGGUUUUCAUAAUUCAAUACUGAUGGUUUUUAUUGCUAGAUUCUUAUUCAUUAAAAAAUUGAUUUUUAUUUGUGAAAAUCCUGAGAACACUACCUUUUAAUUGUUAGUUUACCCAGUAUUUUGAAAAUCAUUCAUUAACAUUGGUUCAUUAAGGAUUUGUAAUUAUAACUAUAGAAGGUGAUGAAAUGUUGUUGACAUAAACAAAGAAUUGUGAUUUGUUAUAAGAUUAUUUAUUGACUUUCAUUUUGAAAUAUUGUAAUAACAUAGUGCAUGUGUUAUGAUAUGUUCUUUUCUGUAUUUGCCAGAUGGAAUGCAUAUAAAGUCCCUGGUAAUUUGGGAGCAUGAUUUACAGCAAUUCAAAACCAAUCUUAUGAUGCAAUAAUAUGUUUUUUUCUCAAAUGGAUAUUCAUGUAGAAAUUGAAAGUGUAACAGUAUAAGAAAUGGAUUUUGUUCUUCAAAUUUUCAUAUUUCAAAUUAGUUUCCUUAACCUUUAUUGAAUUGACAUGAAAUGUUAUUUUAAGAAUAACCAAUUGGUGUUAAAAACAAUAUUCAAAUUAUGUAAAGAGCUAUGUAAAUAAAAUUUCUUGAAAUAGUUUUACUUUCAGACAGAUACACUUCACUUAUAAAUUGUUUGGGCAUUAAACUCAUAAUUUGACAAUGUAAAUAGUGAAUAGCCCGUCCUUCUGUAUAUAGGUGCGUGGAGUUGACCCUGUGGUCUGUCUGUAUAUAAGUCUGUAGAGUCGACCCUGUGGUCAUUCUGUAUAUACGUCUGUAGAGUUGACCCUGUGGUUGGUCUGUAUAUAGGCACGUGGAGUUGACCCUGUGGUUGUUCUGUAUAUAGGCACAUGGAGUUGACCCUGUGGUUGUUCUGUAUAUAGGCACAUGGAGUUGACCCUGUGGUUGUUCUGUAUAUACGUCUGUAGAGUUGACCCUGUCUUCAUUCUGUAUAUACAUCUGUAGAGUUGACCCUGUGGUCAUUCUGUAUAUACAUCUGUAGAGUUGACCCUGUGGUCAUUCUGUAUAUACGUCUGUAGAGUUGACCCUGUGGUCAUUCUGUAUAUACGUCUGUAGAGUUGACCCUGUGGUCAUUCUGUAUAUACGUCUGUAGAGUUGACCCUGUGGUCAUUCUGUGUAUACAUUGAAGAGUUGACCCUGUGGUCAUUCUGUAUAUACAUCUGUAGAGUUGACCCCAUGGUCUGUCUGUGUAUACGUCUGUAGAGUUGACCCUGUGGUCAUUCUGUAUAUACAUCUGUAGAGUUGACCCCAUGGUCUGUCUGUGUAUACAUCUGUAGAGUUGACCCUAUGAUUGCUCUGUAUAUACAUCUGUAGAGUCUCUAUAUAGGUCUGUAGAGUUGAAACUGGGGAUAUUCUGUAUAUACAUGUACAUCUGCAGAGUCGACCCUGUGGUCAUUUUGUACAUGUACAUCAACAGAGUCGACCCUGUGAUCUGUCUGUGUAUACAUCAAUAGAGUCGACCCUGUGAUCUGUCUGUAUACAUCAAUAGAGUUGAUCCUGUGGUCCUGUGUAUACCAUACCACACUACAGUUAUGUAUACGUUUGUAAAACUGACGAUGGGGUCCUUCUGUACAUACAUAUGUAGAUCCUGUAUAUCAAUCUUGUACUAUUUUUUCACUCAGCUGUUCAUCGCCUUGUUUACUUGACAUGAUAUUCUAAAGACUUGCUGAUUUAGUUAGUAUCAAUGUUAAUUUACAAAUUGUUUUCACGCUUUCAUUACAAAAUAAUUUUGCCUGGUACCAACUUUUGUUCAUUUUCAUUGGAUAACAUUUCUCAUUUCUGUCAGGAAAGUACAAUGUAUCUGUUACCGGUAGUAUAGCAUUAAAGUUUAAUACAUGGUACUUAUAUUAGAAUGAUGUUCGCAGUCAGUUGAAAAUUCGGUCAAUAUUUUUGUAUAAAGAAUUCAAAGACAAGUGAUAACACCAGGAAUUCCAUGUUCUGUACUAUAACAUUGACAGUCCAUGUUCUGUACUAUAACAUUGACAGUCCAUGUUCUGUACUAUAACAUUGACAGUCCAUGUUCUGUACUAUGACAUUGACAGUCCAUGUUCUGUACUAUAACAUUGACAGUCCAUGUCCUGUACUAUAACAUUGACAGUCCAUGUUCUGUACUAUAACAUUGACAGUCCAUGUUCUGUACUAUAACAUUGACAGUCCAUGUCCUGUACUAUGACAUUGACAGUCCAUGUUCUGUACUAUAACAUUGACAGUCCAUGUUCUGUACUAUAACAUUGACAGUCCAUGUUCUGUACUAUAACAUUGACAGUCCAUGUUCUGUACUAUAACAUUGACAGUCCAUGUUCUGUACUAUAACAUUGACAGUCCAUGUUCUGUACUAUGACAUUGACAGUCCAUGUUCUGUACUAUAACAUUGACAGUCCAUGUUCUGUACUAUGACAUUGACAGUCCAUGUUCUGUACUAUAACAUUGACAGUCCAUGUUCUGUACUAUGACAUUGACAGUCCAUGUUCUGUACUAUAACAUUGACAGUCCAUGUUCUGUACUAUGACAUUGACAGUCCAUGUUCUGUACUAUGACAUUGACAGUCCAUGUCCUGUACUAUGACAUUGACAGUCCAUGUCCUGUACUAUAACAUAAUGUUUUCUGAUUGACAGUCCAUGCUCUGUACUAUAACAUAAUGUUUUCUGAUUGACAGUCCAUGUUCUGUACUAUAACAUAAUGUUUUCUGAUUGACAGUCCAUGCUCUGUACUAUAACAUUGACAGUCCAUGUUCUGUGCUAUAUAACAUAUUGUUUUCUGUUUGACAGUCCAUGUUCUGUACUAUAACAUUGACAGUCCAUGUUCUGUACUAUAACAUUGACAGUCCAUGUUCUGUACUAUAACAUUGACAGUCCAUGUUCUGUGCUAUAACAUUGACAGUCCAUGUUCUGUACUAUAACAUUGACAGUCCAUGUUCUGUACUAUAACAUAUUGUUUUCUGAUUGACAGUCCAGAUGUUAUCACUGUCAAUGUUAUGUAUAUUACCUGUAACAAAAUACAAAAUAUACUCUAUGUGAUCCAGGCCUUAACAGCAGAGUAUUCUUAAACAAAAUAAAUUACCUCCCUUUGCUACUUCUGUUUCCAACAUUUCAGCAUUUUACGAUGUUGCUACAGAAAUAUAGACCAUAAAACUAGAAAUAACAGUAUGCAAACUCCAUUGUCAAUAAAAAUUAAAAUAAGCUGAUAUUGCAUGCACUGUUUUGAAGAUGCAGUAUUUAUUUUACAGAUAUACAACAGAUGUCAUGUGAAUUGUUUUGGAAAACUUAAAUGAUGAUACCCUUUUCAAAUAUUGUAUAUGAUUUCAUGUGAUAAGCUGUGUCAUUACUUGAAUCCAUGUGAUCUGAGUACAGUGAUAGAUUAUGGUACUCUGAUGUGGAUGGUGAUAGGUACAGGCGAGUAUAGUAGUAAUGACACACUAGAGACUGAUGUGGAUGGUGAUAGGUACAGACAAGUAGUAAUGACACAUUAGAGACUGAUGUGGAUGGUGAUAGGUACAGACAAGUAUAGUAGUAAUGACACACUAGAGACUGAUGUGGAUGGUGAUAGGUACAGACAAGUUUAGUAGUAAUGACACACUAGAGACUGAUGUGGAUGGUGAUAGGUACAGACAAGUAUAGUAGUAAUGACACAUGACGUGGAUGGUGAUAGGUACAGACAAGUAGUAAUGACACACUAGAGACUGAUGUGGAUGGUGAUAGGUACAGACAAGUAGUAAUGACACACUAGAGACUGAUGUGGAUGGUGAUAGGUACAGACAAGUAGUAAUGACACACUAGAGACUGAUGUGGAUGGUGAUAGGUACAGACAAGUAUAGUAGUAAUGACACACUAGAGACUGAUGUGGAUGGUGAUAGGUACAGACAAGUAUAGUAGUAAUGACACACUAGAGACUGAUGUGGAUGGUGAUAGAUACAGACAAGUAUAGUAGUAAUGACACACUAGAGACUGAUGUGGAUGGUGAUAGGUACAGACAAGUAUAGUAGUAAUGACACAUUAGAGACUGAUGUGGAUGGUGAUAGGUACAGACAAGUAGUAAUGACACACUAGAGACUGACGUGGAUGGUGAUAGGUACAGACAAGUAUAGUAGUAAUGACACACUAGAGACUGAUGUGGAUGGUGAUAGGUACAGACAAGUAUAGUAGUAAUGACACACUAGAGACUGAUGUGGAUGGUGAUAGGUACAGACAAGUAGUAAUGACACACUAGAGACUGAUGUGGAUGGUGAUAGGUACAGACAAGUAUAGUAGUAAUGACACACUAGAGACUGAUGUGGAUGGUGAUAGGUACAGACAGGUAUAGUAGUAAUGACACAUUAGAGACUGAUGUGGAUGGUGAUAGGUACAGACAAGUAGUAAUGACACACUAGAGACUGAUGUGGAUGGUGAUAGGUACAGACAAGUAUAGUAGUAAUGACACACUAGAGACUGAUGUGGAUGGUGAUAGGUACAGACAAGUAUAGUAGUAAUGACACACUAGAGACUGAUGUGGAUGGUGAUAGGUACAGACAAGUAGUAAUGACACACUAGAGACUGAUGUGGAUGGUGAUAGGUACAGACAAGUAUAGUAGUAAUGACACACUAGAGACUGAUGUGGAUGGUGAUAGGUACAGACAAGUAGUAAUGACACACUAGAGACUGAUGUGGAUGGUGAUAGGUACAGACAAGUAGUAAUGACACACUAGAGACUGACGUGGAUGGUGAUAGGUACAGACAAGUAUAGUAGUAAUGACACACUAGAGACUGAUGUGGAUGGUGAUAGGUACAGACAAGUAGUAAUGACACACUAGAGACUGAUGUGGAUGGUGAUAGGUACAGACAAGUAUAGUAGUAAUGACACACUAGAGACUGAUGUGGAUGGUGAUAGGUACAGACAAGUAGUAAUGACACACUAGAGACUGAUGUGGAUGGUGAUAGGUACAGACAAGUAUAGUAGUAAUGACACACUAGAGACUGACUGUGGAUGGUGAUAGGUACAGACAAGUUAGUAGUAAUGACACACUAGAGACUGAUGUGGAUGGUGAUAGGUACAGACAAGUAGUAAUGACACACUAGAGACUGAUGUGGAUGGUGAUAGGUACAGACAAGUAUAGUAGUAAUGACACUAGAGACUGAUGUGGAUGGUGAUAGGUACAGACAAGUAGUAAUGACACACUAGAGACUGAUGUGGAUGGUGAUAGGUACAGACAAGUAGUAAUGACACACUAGAGACUGACGUGGAUGGUGAUAGGUACAGACAAGUAUAGUAGUAAUGACACACUAGAGACUGAUGUGGAUGGUGAUAGGUACAGACAAGUAGUAAUGACACACUAGAGACUGAUGUGGAUGGUGAUAGGUACAGACAAGUAUAGUAGUAAUGACACACUAGAGACUGAUGUGGAUGGUGAUAGGUACAGACAAGUAGUAAUGACACACUAGAGACUGACGUGGAUGGUGAUAGGUACAGACAAGUAUAGUAGUAAUGACACACUAGAGACUGAUGUGGAUGGUGAUAGGUACAGACAAGUAGUAAUGACACACUAGAGACUGAUGUGGAUGGUGAUAGGUACAGACAAGUAUAGUAGUAAUGACACACUAGAGACUGACGUGGAUGGUGAUAGGUACAGACAAGUAGUAAUGACACACUAGAGACUGAUGUGGAUGGUGGUAGGUACAGACAAGUAGUAAUGACACACUAGAGACUGAUGUGGAUGGUGAUAGGUACAGACAAGUAUAGUAGUAAUGACACACUAGAGACUGAUGUGGAUGGUGAUAGGUACAGACAAGUAGUAAUGACACAUUAGAGACUGAUGUGGAUGGUGAUAGGUACAGACAGGUAUAGUAGUAAUGACACACUAGAGACUGAUGUGGAUGGUGAUAGGUACAGACAGGUAUAGUAGUAAUGACACUAGAGACUGAUGUGGAUGGUGAUAGGUACAGACAAGUAUAGUAGUAAUGACACACUAGAGACUGAUGUGGAUGGUGAUAGGUACAGACAAGUAUAGUAGUAAUGACACAUUAGAGACCACAGAUUAAACACUUUCUCCCUGACUAUUUAAAGAGAAAAUGUACUUGUCAUUGAUUGUGGUAGCAAACUUUUGCAUUGUGUAUAUUAAAACAAUAUGAACAGUCUUACAAAGACAAUGUUUUUCUCUGCCAAUUAUUACUUCUCCCAGCUUGACAAAGAGACUCGUGUGGUUUUGAUAUUAUCCUGUAUUGAUAAGAAUCAAACUACAUCUACAUGUUGUGUCUUUAGUGAUAAAUUAUUCAAAGUGAUAUAAUAAAUCUAAGAUUGAAGAAUGCAUA